ACACGAAGCUGGAAUCGCUAGUAAUCGCGAAUCAGAAUGUCGCGGUGAAUACGUUCCCGGGCCUUGUACACACCGCCCGUCACACCAUGAGAGUCGAUAACACCCGAAGCCUGUGAGCUAACCGUAAGGAGGCAGCAGUCGAAGGUGGGGGUUGAUGAUUGGGGUGAAGUCGUAACAAGGUAGC
rnacentral:rRNA from 1 species